AACGAACGCUGGCGGCAUGCCUAACACAUGCAAGUCGAACGAGACCUUCGGGUCUAGUGGCGCACGGGUGCGUAACGCGUGGGAACCUGCCCUUAGGUUCGGAAUAACUCCCCGAAAGGGGUGCUAAUACCGGUUAAUGUCUUCGGACCAAAGAUUUAUCGCCUUUGGAUGGGCCCGCGUUUGAUUAGCUUGUUGGUAGGGUAAAAGCCUACCAAGGCGACGAUCCAUAGCUGGUCUGAGAGGAUGAUCAGCCACACUGGGACUGAGACACGGCACAGACUACUAGGGGAGGAAGCAGUGGGGAAUAUUGGAAAAUGGGCGAAAGCCUGAACAAGCAAUGCCGCGUGAGUGAUGAAGGCCUUAGGGUUGUAAAGCUCUUUUACACGGGAUGAUAAUGACAGUACCGGGAGAAUAAGCUCCGGCUAACUCCGUG
rnacentral:rRNA from 1 species